GACGAACGCUGGCGGCGCGCUUAACACAUGCAAGUCGAGCGAUGAAAUUUCGACAGAUCCCUUCGGGGUGAAGAUGAAAUGGAUUAGCGGCGGACGGGUGAGUAACACGUGAGUAACCUGCCUUUGACAUUGGGAUAGCCUCGGGAAACUGGGAUUAAUACCAAAUGACACUAACUGAUCACAUGAUCCAUUAGUCAAAGAAAUUCGGUCAAAGAUGGACUCGCGGCUGAUUAGCUAGUUGGUGAGGUAACGGCCCACCAAGGCGACGAUCUGUAGCCGGCCUGAGAGGGUGAGCGGCCACAUUGGAACUGAGACACGGUCCAAACUCCUACGGGAGGCAGCAGUGGGGAAUAUUGCACAAUGGGGGAAACCCUGAUGCAGCGACGCCGCGUGAGCGAAGAAGGCCUUCGGGUCGUAAAGCUCUUUUAUGAGGGAAGAUAAUGACGGUACCUCAAGAAAAAGCCCCGGCUAACUACGUG
rnacentral:rRNA from 1 species